AUGGGAACGCGAAGAACCUUACCUAGACUUGACAUCUCCUGAAUAGUGUAGAGAUACAUGAAGCCCUUCGGGGCAGGAAGACAGGUGGUGCAUGGUUGUCGUCAGCUCGUGUCGUGAGAUGUUGGGUUAAGUCCCGCAACGAGCGCAACCCUUAUUACUAGUUGCUACCAUUAAGUUGAGCACUCUAGUGAGACUGCCCGGGUUAACCGGGAGGAAGGCGGGGAUGACGUCAAAUCAUCAUGCCCCUUAUGUCUAGGGCAACACACGUGCUACAAUGGUGAGCACAGAUAGAUGCGAUACCGCAAGGUGGAGCCAAACUCUAAAACUCAUCCCAGUUCGGAUUGUAGGCUGCAACUCGCCUACAUGAAGUUGGAGUUGCUAGUAAUCGCGAAUCAGAAUGUCGCGGUGAAUACGUU
rnacentral:rRNA from 1 species